AUUGAACGCUGGCGGCAGGCCUAACACAUGCAAGUCGAACGAGUGGCGGACGGGUGAGUAAUGUCUGGGAAACUGCCUGAUGGAGGGGGAUAACUACUGGACACGGUAGCUAAUACCGCAUACCAUCAGAUGUGCCCAGAGUGGAUUAGCUAGUUGGUGGUGUAACGGCUCACCAAGGCGACGAUCCCUAGCUGGUCUGAGAGGAUGACCAGACAGCCUGGAACUGAGACACGGUCCAGACUCCUACGGGAGGCAGCAGUGGGGAAUAUUGCACAAUGGGCGCAAGCCGGAUGCAGCCAGGCCGCGGGUAUGAAGAAGGCCUUCGGGUUGUAAAGUACUUUCAGCGGGGAGGCGUUACCCGCAGAAGUAGGACCCGCUAACUCCGUGCCAGCAGCCGCGGUAAUUC
rnacentral:rRNA from 1 species